rnacentral:rRNA from 1 species
UACAGAGGGGGCAAGCGUUAUUCGGAAUUAUUGGGCGUAAAGGGCGCGUAGGCGGCUUUGCAAGUGACGGGUGAAAUCCCUCGGCUUAACCGAGGAACUGCCUGUCAGACUGCAUGGCUUGAGACCGGGAGAGGUGAGUGGAAUUCCCAGUGUAGCGGUGAAAUGCGUAGAUAUUGGGAGGAACACCGGUGGCGAAGGCGGGUCUCUGGGCAGUAACUGACGCUGAGGAGCGAAAGCGUGGGUAGCAAACAGG